rnacentral:tRNA from 1 species
GCCGAAGUGGUGAAAUUGGUAGACACGCUGUGUUCAGGGCGCAGUGCCCGCAAGGGCAUGAGAGUUCGAGUCUCUCCUUCGGCA